rnacentral:rRNA from 1 species
GAUUAACGCUAGCGGCAGGCCUAAUACAUGCAAGUCGAGGGGCAGCAGGGUGUAGCAAUACAUCGCUGGCGACCGGCGCACGGGUGCGUAACACGUAUGCAACCUACCUUUAACUGGGGAAUAGCCCUCCGAAAGGAGGAUUAACACCGCAUAACAUCACGAGACGGCAUCGCCUUGUGAUCAAACCUCCGGGGGUUAAAGAUGGGCAUGCGUCCGAUUAGCUAGUUGGCGGGGUAACGGCCCACCAAGGCGACGAUCGGUAGGGGGUCUGAGAGGAUGAUCCCCCANACUGGUACUGAGACACGGACCAGACUCCUACGGGAGGCAGCAGUAAGGAAUAUUGGACAAUGGUCGCAAGACUGAUCCAGCCAUGCCGCGUGCAGGAUGAACGAUCUAUGAUCUGUAAACUGCUUUUGUUCGGGAAUAAACCCCUUCACGUGUGGAGGGCUGAAUGUACCGAAAGAAUAAGGGUCGGCUAACUUCGUGCCAGCAGCCG